GCGUGCGUUCGGGGGGCGUUCGACUGAAAGGUCGAGAUUCAGGGUCAGGAUUAGCCUCCCGAACUUUGC
rnacentral:sRNA from 21 species